AUUCGGUGAAAAGUGGAAUUCGGUGUUUCCAUGGACCGAUGAAAGAAGACGCAAAGUACCGAUUCCAAGGCUGUUUAGAGAGAGAAUAGUUCUCGAAAACUUAAGAGAUGAGGACAUUGUAUCCAGAUAUCGUUUAAGUAGGGGCGGUAUAGAGCGUUUGGUGGUUUUGAUUGGGGAAGAAAUAGCACCAACUUGCCGGCGAUCUCAUGCCAUUGAUCCCGUCACACAGAUUUUAGCAUCAUUGAGGUACCUUGCUAAGGGAGAUUUUUACUCGGAAGUGGGUGAUAUCCACGGAAUAAGCAAGUCAAGCUUCUGUCGGAUUUUACAGAAGUUCAUCUCAGCUGUAAAUCAAAAGUUGAAAAAUAUCAGAUUUCCACAAGAACCAGCUGUUCUGCUUGUCAAGCAGGAAUUUUUCAGAAAAUGUCAGCUGCCAAAUGUAGCUGGGGCAGUCGACGGGACCCUUGUACCCAUUAUCAAACCUGCUGAGGCUGAAGAGGCCUAUGUGUGCAGGAAGGGGUUCCAUGCCAUUAAUGUACAGGCUGUCGUUGACGCCAACAUGAGGUUCAAAGAUGUCGUGUCAAGAUGGCCUGGUGCGACUCAUGAUGCUGCGGUGUUUGAUAGCAGUGGCGUAAAGAUUUUGGCAUAUUGCAUAUUGCCAAGGGAGAUGUUUACUGAGGAUUCCAUGCCAUUAAUGUGCAGGCUGUUGCUGACGCCAGCAUGAGCAAUAUCUGAGCACCAAUGAUGAGGGUCAUCUGCUGGGAGAUAGUGGGUAUCCGUUAAGGACUAACCUGAUGACCCCUUAACCUCAUCCCUCCCAUGCUGCGGAACAGGCUUACAAUGACCAUCUAUGUAGAGGAAAUCCACUGGUGGAUGUUGGCCUUUCAAGUCCAAUAAGUGCUGUGAAAUAUCAACUGUGUACAUGCCCCUGCAUAACCUGUGUCUGGAUUCAAACGUUCCACUGAUAGAGGAAUCGGUUGGAAAUGUGAUGGAACCGGAAGUUAUGAACAACACACCAGUACAUCGAGCAGCAUGUGAUAAGAGGCAGCAGCUGAUCAAACUGUUUCAUAAAAUGUGUUAAAAAUUUAUAGUUAUAAAUGUUAUAAAGUGAUAGAUGGCUUGAGUCUUCUCUGAAUAGGCAGAGCUACACUACUCAGCCAAAUGGCGUAAAGUUGUGUCAUAGCUGAUUUGGAAGGAUUGGUAUUCCUGGUCGUCUAGACACAAUAGUUACAACAGCUGAUGUUUGCAUGUUUUAUAAUUGUGUAUGCAUAAUUUGUCUAAUAUUUACUUCAAGGUUAUAGGUUUGUGAAAGAAAAAAAUGUCAAUGUUCUGAGGACCAAUAAAAAAAGUUAUGUGUUAGGUA